UUUUCACCAAAUCUGACUUGACUUUUAUAGUUCCUUUCACUAUCUCCAAAUAUCCAUUUACAAAAAAAAUCAACAAUGUUAUUUACCAAUGAUACUAACUAUCUUGGAAUUUUUUCACAUUAUUAACAUAACCUAGGAAAGUGAAGGUUCAUUUAUAUGGGAACAGUUUGAAUCAUUCAACUAUGUAAUCCAUUUAAAAGAUGUACACAAUGAGUGUCCACUCUGCGGCUUUCAACGAUAGCAGGCACUUUCUCUCCAACGUUUUUGGUAAUCCUGGCUCAUCAGGUGGUAGAGAAGAAGAUGAUGGAGGAUUAGAUGUUGAGGGUAAAGUCAAAACAAGACUACUUUCCAUGUGGAAUAACGUUAAAUAUGGCAUGAAAUUAAAAACUAAUUUCUCAAAAGAAUCUCCGGUGUGGCUCCUCGGCAGAUGUUACCACAAAAAACUUGAAAAUACUGACUUAACAGAGGUAGCAACUGAUGUUGCUGCUUUUCAAAGUCAAGGGAAUGUAAGUAAUACAAUUUAAUUGUUGAGUGCAAAUUGUUAAAAUUUUAAUUAUAUUGAUAUAAAGAGGAAUAAAUCUGAAAUUAAUUUCUUCAUUAAUCUACAUCAAGAUUCAAAAUGGAUCUUAUACUAAGUCUGCUUAUACUAAUAACUAUGUUUUAGAUCAUCUUAAUUUGUAUAUUUCGAUAACAUUAAUUCAGGAAGCUGUGAAACAAAUUUCUCCAGAGUAAUUCAAGGUUGCUUGCUGCCAAGGCGUUCCAAUUAAUACCAUAUUCACCCUAACCUGGUUGACACAUACUGAAAAGCCUCUGGCCACAAGCAACCUGGGCUAAACUAUGUUACAAUUAAUACCAUAUCCACCCUAACUUGGUUGACACAUACUAAAGAGCUUCGGCAGCAAGUGAUCUUGGCUUAUUGAUGAAAAAUACAAUGUUUAAAGUGUUUAGCUUUAUUAAGCUUCAAUGUAGUAACCAGUUUUGGGUUGAUAUAUCAAUUACACUAGUUUAUAAAAAAAAUAUCACAGUCUUGGAGAUUUUUUUUAUAAUGUAGAAUCU